AUUGAACGCUGGUGGUAUGCUUAACACAUGCAAGUCGAACGAUGAGAAAGAGCUUGCUCUUUCGAUUAGUGGCGGACGGGUGCGUAACGCGUAGGAAUCUACCUAUUAGUGGGGGACAACUUAGGGAAACUUAAGCUAAUACCGCAUACGCCCUACGGGGGAAAGAAGGGGAUCGCAAGACCUUUUGCUAAUAGAUGAGCCUGCGUAGGAUUAGCUAGUUGGUGGGGUAAAAGCUCACCAAGGCGACGAUCAUUAACUGGUUUGAGAGAAUGAUAAGUGACACUGGAACUGAGAAACGGUGCAGACUGCGACGGGAGGAAGAAGUGGGGGAGAUUGGACAAUGGGCGAAAGCAUGGUCCAGCAAUACCGAGUGUGUGAAGAAGGCCUUAGGGUUGUAAAGCACUUUAAAUUGGAAGGAAAACCUCGAAGCUAAUACCUUCGAGUUUGACAUUACCUUUAGAAGAAGAACCGGCUAACUCCGUGCCAGCAGCCGCCGUAACAC
rnacentral:rRNA from 1 species